CCUACGGGAGGCAGCAGUGGGGAAUUUUGGACAAUGGGGGCAACCCUGAUCCAGCCAUUCCGCGUGAGUGAAGAAGGCCUUCGGGUUGUAAAGCUCUUUCAGCUGGAACGAAACGGUACGGGCUAAUACCCUGUGCUAAUGACGGUACCAGCAGAAGAAGCACCGGCUAACUACGUGCCAGCAGCCGCGGUAAUACGUAGGGUGCGAGCGUUAAUCGGAAUUACUGGGCGUAAAGCGUGCGCAGGCGGAUUGUUAAGCAAGAUGUGAAAUCCCCGGGCUUAACCUGGGAAUGGCAUUUUGAACUGGCAGUCUAGAGUGCGUCAGAGGGGGGUGGAAUUCCACGUGUAGCAGUGAAAUGCGUAGAGAUGUGGAGGAACACCAAUGGCGAAGGCAGCCCCCUGGGAUGACACUGACGCUCAUGUACGAAAGCGUGGGUAGCAAACAGGAUUAGAUACCCUGGUAGUCCACGCCCUAAACGAUGUCAACUGGUUGUUGGGGGAGUGAAAUCCCCUUAGUAACGAAGCUAACGCGUGAAGUUGACCGCCUGGGGAGUACGG
rnacentral:rRNA from 1 species